AUUGAACGCUGGCGGCAGGCCUAACACAUGCAAGUCGAGCGGAUGAAGGGAGCUUGCUCCUGGAUUCAGCGGCGGACGGGUGAGUAAUGCCUAGGAAUCUGCCUGGUAGUGGGGGAUAACGUCCGGAAACGGGCGCUAAUACCGCAUACGUCCUGAGGGAGAAAGUGGGGAAUCUUCGGACCUCACGCUAUCAGAUGAUCCUAGGUCGGAUUAGCUAGUUGGUGGGGUAAAGGCCUACCAAGGCGACGAUCCGUAACUGGUCUGAGAGGAUGAUCAGUCACACUGGAACUGAGACACGGUCCAGACUCCUACGGGAGGCAGCAGUGGGGAAUAUUGGACAAUGGGCGAAAGCCUGAUCCAGCCAUGCCGCGUGUGUGAAGAAGGUCUUCGGAUUGUAAAGCACUUUAAGUUGGGAGGAAGGGCAGUAAGUUAAUACCUUGCUGUUUUGACGUUACCAACAGAAUAAGCACCGGCUAACUUCGUG
rnacentral:rRNA from 1 species